UCCACGUUAUCCGCGGCAGUCUCCCAAGAGUCCUCCCCUUGCGGGGUAGCAACAUGGGACGGGGGUUGCGCUCGUUGCGGGACUUAACCCAACAUCUCACGACACGAGCUGACGACAACCAUGCAGCACCUCGGCUGGCUCCCUUGCGGGUCAUCCCGUAUUUCUACAGGACUAACACCAGUCGUUCGAGCCCAGGUAAGGUUUUUCGCGUAGCGUCGAAUUAAACCACAUGCUCCACCGCUUGUGCGGGUCCCCGUCAAUUCCUUUGAGUUUUAACCUUGCGGCCGUACUCCCCAGGCGGGACACUUAAUGCGUUAGCGUCGGCACGGAAGGGGUUGAUACCUCCCACACCUAGUGUCCAUCGUUUACAGCUAGGACUAC
rnacentral:misc_RNA from 1 species